GACGAACGCUGGCGGCGUGCUUGACACAUGCAAGUCGAACGGAAAGGCCUGCUUUCCCUUGUGGUUUGCGGGUACUCGAGUGGCUAACGGGUGAGUAACACGUGAGUGAUCUGCCCCCAACUUGGGUAUAAGCCUGGGAAACUGGGUCUAAUUCCCGAUAGGACUGCAGGGUGGUGCCUGUGGUGGAAAACGAUUUUCUAGUGGUUGGGGAUGAGCUCGCGGCGUAUCAGCUUGGUGGUGGGGUAGUGGCCUACCAAGGCGGCGACGCGUAGCCGGCCUGAGAGGGUGAGCGGCCACAGGGGAACUGAGACACGGUCCAGACUCGUACGGGAGGCAGCAGUAGGGAAUCUUCCGCAAUGGGCGAAAGCUUGACGGAGCAACGCCGCGUGAGUGAGGAAGGUGUUCGGAUCGUAAAACGCUGUUAUUAGGGAAGAACAAAUGUGUAAGUAACUAUGCACGUCUUGACGGUACCUAAUCAGAAAGCCACGGCUAACUACGUG
rnacentral:rRNA from 1 species